AUUGAACGCUGGCGGCAUGCUUUACACAUGCAAGUCGAACGGUAACAGGCCUUCGGGUGCUGACGAGUGGCGAACGGGUGAGUAAUGCAUCGGAACGUACCCAGAGGCGGGGGAUAACGCAGCGAAAGCUGUGCUAAUACCGCAUGUGAUCUGAGGAUGAAAGCGGGGACCGGGCCGGCAAGUUUUGGCUUCCGCCCUUUGGACGGCCGAUGUCGGAUUAGCUAGUUGGUGGGGUAAAGGCCUACCAAGGCGACGAUCCGUAGCUGGUCUGAGAGGACGACCAGCCACACUGGGACUGAGACACGGCCCAGACUCCUACGGGAGGCAGCAAUGGGGAAUUUUGGACAAUGGGCGCAAGCCUGAUCCAGCAAUGCCGCGUGCGGGAAGAAGGCCUUCGGGUUGUAAACCGCUUUUGGCAGGAACGAAACGGUGUCCGCUAAUACCGGGCGCUAAUGACGGUACCUGCAGAAUAAGCACCGGCUAACUACGUG
rnacentral:rRNA from 1 species